AUAAGUUUAUUCCAUACAAAGUGUGGGAUGACUUUCUUCUCCAAAUUCCUUUAUCUUCUACCAAGAGGUAGAAAUCCCAAUUACAGAAAUCAAAUAAAAUAAAAAUAAACUCCUACAAAAAAUAACUAGAAAA